rnacentral:rRNA from 1 species
UAAGCCUACGGGAGGUAGCAGUGGGGGAUAUUGCACAAUGGGGGGAACCCUGAUGCAGCGACGCCGCGUGAGUGAAGAAGUAUUUCGGUAUGUAAAGCUCUGUCAGCAGGGAAGAAGAAAGACGGUACCUGACCAAGAAGCCCCGGCUAACUACGUGCCAGCAGCCGCGGUAAUACGUAGGGGGCAAGCGUUAUCCGGAUUUACUGGGUGUAAAGGGAGCGUAGACGGCAGGGCAAGUCUGGAGUGGCAGGGAGGGGCCCAACCCCUG